rnacentral:rRNA from 1 species
GCAAGUCGAGCGGUAAGCUAACUUCGGUUAGCCUAGAGCUGCGGACGGGUGAGUAACACGUGGAUAAUCUACCUCCUUGUUUGGGUUAGCUUGUGGAAACAUAAGGUAAUACCGAAUGAGAUUCAUUAGACAAAAGGCUAUUGAAGGAAAGGCGCAGAGGCGUAGAAAGGAGAUGAGUCCGCGGCCCAUUAGCGAGACGGCAGGGUAAAAGCCUACCGAGGCAAUGAUGGGUAGCCGGCCUGAGAGGGUGAGC